GAGACUUACAGUUCUCAAAGAAUUAAAGUGAAUACAGAGGGAAGGAAAAAGACACAGACGAGCUACAAGCGAAGAAGAAGAGAAAACGCGAAGGUAGAGGAAUGCCUCACCCCGAAGAAGGAACGCUGUAAUUGUAUUUCUUUGAGUGUAUGGAAGAAGGGGUCAAGAGCAGCUAUUUAUACUGCGAAUUAGGGCUUUAUUUUUGGGAAGGAGCAUCAAUCAAACAAAUCUUUCCAUAAUUUUCAUGAUCAUCAAGAAGGAAGGUGAAUUAGGGUUUUCUGAUCUUCCUCAAACAAUUUACGUGGCUGCACAACAAAUUACUAUGGGCUCAAGCAAUGGGCUUCAAUAAAAGAAUUUGGGCUUUAUUAAAAGAGGUAAUUAGUAUCUUGUAAGAAAUGAAAUCCCC
rnacentral:lncRNA from 1 species